rnacentral:misc_RNA from 1 species
GAAGAACCAAUGGUUGAGGAAAAAUCUGAAGAAUCAUUUGAGGAGAAAACUCAAAAACCAGAGGCUGGAGAGAAACCUGAAGAACCAACAGCUAAAGAAAUACCUGAAUAUCUAGCAGAGGAGGAAAUGCCUGAAGAGCUAGCCCUUGAAGAGAAACCUAGAGAACCAAAAGUUGAAGAGACGCUUGAAGUACUAGAUGUUGAAGAGAAAUCUGAAAAAAAAGCAAUUAUACAGGAGAAACCUGAAACGGAAGCUCUUCAGG